AGAGUUUGAUCAUGGCUCAGGAUGAACGCUGGCGGCGUGCCUAAUACAUGCAAGUCGAACGAGAUGCUUUUGUAGCAAUACGAGAGUAUUCUAGUGGCGAACGGGUGAGUAACGCGUUGGUGACCUACCCCAAAGUGUGGGAUAACAGUCCGAAAGGAUUGCUAAUACCGCAUGUGGUCUUCGGAUUUAGAAACUGAUGACUAAAGGAGCAAUUCGCUUUGGGAGGGACCUGCGUCCCAUCAGCUAGUUGGUGAGGUAAUGGCUCACCAAGGCGACGACGGGUAGGGGACCUGAGAGGGUGGCCCCCCACAAUGGAACUGAAACACGGUCCAUACACCUACGGGUGGCAGCAGUAGGGAAUAUUGCUCAAUGGGCGAAAGCCUGAAGCAGCAACGCCGCUUGUGCGAUGAAGGCCUUCGGGUCGUAAAGCACUUUUCUGAGAGAUGAGAAAGGACAGUAUCUCAGGAAUAAGUCUCGGCUAACUACGUGCCAGCAGCCGCGGUAAUAC
rnacentral:rRNA from 1 species